rnacentral:miRNA from 2 species
GAGCCAGUGGUGAGACAGUGA